UACGUAGGUGGCAAGCGUUGUCCGGAAUUACUGGGCGUAAAGUGUGCGCAGGUGGCCGCGCAAGUCGAGUGUGAAAUCCCCGAGCUUAACUUGGGAAUUGCGCUCGAAACUACGUGGCUAGAGUGUGGCAGAGGGAGGUGGAAUUCCACGUGUAGCGGUGAAAUGCGUAGAGAUGUGGAGGAACACCGAUGGCGAAGGCAGCCCCCUGGGUCAAGAUUGACGCUCAUGCACGAAAAGCGUGGGGAGCAAACAGG
rnacentral:rRNA from 1 species